rnacentral:rRNA from 1 species
AGAGUUUGAUCCUGGCUCAGAUUGAACGCUGGCGGCAUGCUUUACACAUGCAAGUCGAACGGCAGCGGGGGUUUAAGCUUGCUUAGACCUGCCGGCGAGUGGCGAACGGGUGAGUACAACAUCGGAACGUGUCCGUUUGUGGGGGACAACUGCUCGAAAGGGUAGCUAAUACCGCAUAAGACCUGAGGGUGAAAGUGGGGGAUCGCAAGACCUCACGCGAACGGAGCGGCCGAUGACUGAUUAGGUAGUUGGUGAGGUAAAGGCCCACCAAGCCGACGAUCAGUAGCUGGUCUGAGAGGACGACCAGCCACACUGGAACUGAGACACGGUCCAGACUCCUACGGGAGGCAGCAGUGGGGAAUUUUGGACAAUGGGGGAAACCCUGAUCCAGCCAUGCCGCGUGCGGGAAGAAGGCCUUCGGGUUGUAAACCGCUUUUGUCAGGGACGAAAAGUCGUAUUUAAAUAAAGUACGAUGCUGACGGUACCUGAAGAAUAAGCACCGGCUAACUACGUGCCAGCAGCCGCGGUAAUACGUAGGGUGCAAGCGUUAAUCGGAAUUACUGGGCGUAAAGCGUGCGCAGGCGGUUGGAUAAGACAGAUGUGAAAUCCCCGGGCUUAACCUGGGAACCGCAUUUGUGACUGUCUGACUGGAGUAUGUCAGAGGGGGGUGGAAUUCCACGUGUAGCAGUGAAAUGCGUAGAUAUGUGGAAGAACACCGAUGGCGAAGGCAGCCCCCUGGGGCAAAACUGACGCUCAUGCACGAAAGCGUGGGGAGCAAACAGGAUUAGAUACCCUGGUAGUCCACGCCCUAAACGAUGUCUACUGGUUGUUGGGGAGUUAAAUCCUCAGUAACGAAGCCAACGCGUGAAGUAGACCGCCUGGGGAGUACGGUCGCAAGAUUAAAACUCAAAGGAAUUGACGGGGACCCG